GCCCGGGUGGCGAAACAGGCAGACGCAAAGGACUUAAAAUCCUUUUCCUGGCAACGGGAGUGUGGGUUCGAUUCCCACCCCGGGCA
rnacentral:tRNA from 1 species